UACGUAGGGUGCGAGCGUUAAUCGGAAUUACUGGGCGUAAAGCGUGCGCAGGCGGCUUCGCAAGUCAGGCGUGAAAUCCCCGGGCUUAACCUGGGAAUGGCGUCUGAAACUACGGAGCUGGAGUGUGGCAGAGGGGAGGUAGAAUUCCACGUGUAAGCGGUGAAAUGCGUAGAUAUGUGGAGGAAUACCGAUGGCGAAGGCAGCCUCCUGGGCCAACACUGACGCUCAUGCACGAAAGCGUGGGGAGCAAACAGG
rnacentral:rRNA from 1 species